CCUGGCUCAGGAUGAACGCUAGCGACAGGCUUAACACAUGCAAGUCGAGGGGCAGCGGGGGUAGCAAUACCCGCCGGCGACCGGCGCACGGGUGAGUAACGCGUAUGCAACUUACCUAUCAGAGGGGGAUAACCCGGCGAAAGUCGGACUAAUACCGCAUGAAGCAGGGGCCCCGCAUGGGGAUAUUUGCUAAAGAUUCAUCGCUGAUAGAUAGGCAUGCGUUCCAUUAGGCAGUUGGCGGGGUAACGGCCCACCAAACCGACGAUGGAUAGGGGUUCUGAGAGGAAGGUCCCCCACAUUGGUACUGAGACACGGACCAAACUCCUACGGGAGGCAGCAGUGAGGAAUAUUGGUCAAUGGGCGUAGGCCUGAACCAGCCAAGUCGCGUGAGGGAUGAAGGUUCUAUGGAUCGUAAACCUCUUUUAUAAGGGAAUAAAGUGCGGGACGUGUCCCGUUUUGUAUGUACCUUAUGAAUAAGGAUCGGCUAACUCCGUGCCAGCAGCCGCGGUAAUACGGAGGAUCCGAGCGUUAUCCGGAUUUAUUGGGUUUAAAGGGUGCGUAGGCGGCCUUUUAAGUCAGCGGUGAAAGUCUGUGGCUCAACCAUAGAAUUGCCGUUGAAACUGGGGGGCUUGAGUAUGUUUGAGGCAGGCGGAAUGCGUGGUGUAGCGGUGAAAUGCUUAGAUAUCACGCAGAACCCCGAUUGCGAAGGCAGCCUGCCAAGCCAUGACUGACGCUGAUGCACGAAAGCGUGGGGAUCAAACAGGAUUAGAUACCCUGGUAGUCCACGCAGUAAACGAUGAUCACUAGCUGUUUGCGAUACACUGUAAGCGGCACAGCGAAAGCGUUAAGUGAUCCACCUGGGGAGUACGCCGGCAACGGUGAAACUCAAAGGAAUUGACGGGGGCCUGCACAAGCGGAGGAACAUGUGGUUUAAUUCGAUGAUACGCGAGGAACCUUACCCGGGUUUGAACGCAUUCGGACCGAGGUGGAAACACCUUUUCUAGCAAUAGCCGUUUGCGAGGUGCUGCAUGGUUGUCGUCAGCUCGUGCCGUGAGGUGUCGGCUUAAGUGCCAUAACGAGCGCAACCCUUGCCACUAGUUACUAACAGGUAAAGCUGAGGACUCUGGUGGGACUGCCAGCGUAAGCUGCGAGGAAGGCGGGGAUGACGUCAAAUCAGCACGGCCCUUACAUCCGGGGCGACACACGUGUUACAAUGGCGUGGACAAAGGGAAGCCACCUGGCGACAGGGAGCGAAUCCCCAAACCACGUCUCAGUUCGGAUCGGAGUCUGCAACCCGACUCCGUGAAGCUGGAUUCGCUAGUAAUCGCGCAUCAGCCAUGGCGCGGUGAAUACGUUCCCGGGCCUUGCACACACCGCCC
rnacentral:rRNA from 1 species